AUUGAACGCUGGCGGCAUGCCUUACACAUGCAAGUCGAACGGUAACAGGUCUUCGGAUGCUGACGAGUGGCGAACGGGUGAGUAAUACAUCGGAACGUGCCCAGACGUGGGGGAUAACGAGGCGAAAGCUUUGCUAAUACCGCAGACGAUCUAAGGAUGAAAGCAGGGGACCGCAAGGCCUUGCGCGUUUGGAGCGGCCGAUGGCAGAUUAGGUAGUUGGUGGGAUAAAAGCUUACCAAGCCGACGAUCUGUAGCUGGUCUGAGAGGACGACCAGCCACACUGGGACUGAGACACGGCCCAGACUCCUACGGGAGGCAGCAGUGGGGAAUUUUGGACAAUGGGCGAAAGCCUGAUCCAGCAAUGCCGCGUGCAGGCUGAAGGCCUUCGGGUUGUAAACUGCUUUUGUACGGAACGAAAAGGCUCUGGCUAAUACCUGGGGCACAUGACGGUACCGUAAGAAUAAGCGCCGGCUAACUACGUG
rnacentral:rRNA from 1 species